CGGCAUGCCUAAGACAUGCAAGUCGAACGAAGUGACCCAAUGAAGAAUGCGAGCUUGCUCAAAUUCGGAUUUGGUUUACCACUUAGUGGCGCAAGGGUGAGUAACACGUGGGUAAUCUACCUUCGAGUCUGGAAUAACAGUUAGAAAUGAUUGCUAAUGCCGGAUGAAAUUGGGAACGAAAUUUCAUUCUUUAUUAAAAGGAGCCUUUAAAGCUUCGCUUGAAGAUGAGCCUGCGACGUAUUAGCUAGUUGGUGGGGUAAGGGCCUACCAAGGCAACGAUGCGUAGCCGACCUGAGAGGGUGAUCGGCCACACUGGGACUGAGACACGGCCCAGACUCCUACGGGAGACAGCAGUUAGGAAUAUUCGUCAAUGGGGGAAACCCUGAACGAGCAAUGCCGCGUGAAGGAUGACGGUCCUAUGGAUUGUAAACUUCUGUUGUUAGGGAAGAACGACUAGUGUAGGAAAUGACACUAGAGUGACGGUACCUUUCAAGAAAGCUCCGGCUAACUACGUG
rnacentral:rRNA from 1 species